CAGUGUUCUGCCUCUCCCUGUCCAUAGUCAGCUGGAGGGCGAGGGCUGGGCUGAACUCAGGAAGCAGCUACGGGAAUUUACCCACACUACGCAAGUGGAACUGGAAAGGGAGAGAAGCCAGCUGCUGGCCCGGGCGAUGGUAGCAGAAGAGCAGGUUGCUGAACUGCAGGAAUAUAUGGACAAACAUCUGGUGAGAUACAAGCAGGAGAUCGUGAGAAUGCACAAAGUCCUAGGAACAAAUGGAUCCCAAGCAUCUCAGGUUCCAGUACUUUUUUGAUGUCCCAAGGAAACCUCAGCAAGGAAUUCUAGCUUUCUCAUCAGAAUUGAGCUGGAAGGGACCAUGGAGGUCUUCUAGUCCAGUGUUUUUCAACCACUGUGCCAUGGCA